rnacentral:rRNA from 1 species
UGAACGCUGGCGGCGUGCUUAACACAUGCAAGUCGAGCGAGAAGUUUUGAAAAGAUUCUUCGGAUGAAAUUUAAAAUGGAAAGCGGCGGACGGGUGAGUAACGCGUAGGCAACCUGCCCCAUACAAAGGGAUAGCAUUUGGAAACGAAUAUUAAUACCUUAUGAAACUUAACUAGUGCAUGCUAGGUAGGUCAAAGAUUUAUCGGUAUGGGAUGGGCCUGCGUCUGAUUAGCUAGUUGGUGAGGUAACGGCUCACCAAGGCGACGAUCAGUAGCCGACCUGAGAGGGUGAACGGCCACAUUGGAACUGAGACACGGUCCAAACUCCUACGGGAGACAGCAGUGGGGAAUAUUGCACAAUGGGGGAAACCCUGAUGCAGCAACGCCGCGUGAACGAUGAAGGCCUUUGGGUCGUAAAGUUCUGUUCUAGGUGAUGAAAACUGACAGUAACCUAGGAGAAAGCCCCGGCUAACUCCGUG